rnacentral:lncRNA from 1 species
CCUUUUUAAUGUAAAUAAAACUAUUUUUAAUUAUUGAUUAUAUACACAUAUUCAAUUACUCCUAUCCUAUGAAAAAUAAUUCACAAAGAUUGACUAGUCUCCGUUCUGUGUGUAUUGCUAGAACAUCAAGUAACAUAAUGGUUAAUGUACAUAGUAACAUGUCAACUCUUUUGAAGACAGAACUUUUUUUAAAUUCUCCCUCCAAGCAAAAUUAUUUUUCAGUAUAAACAUGAUAAAGUUAUCUACCUGUAUUAAUGACCUAGAGACUCUCAAGAGCCUGUGUCGCUCACCUUGGAC